rnacentral:lncRNA from 1 species
UACUGAAUGUUUUUUGCGACGACUCUUUAAAGUCACCACAAAAAGUCACUAUUGUAGCGACUCUACUCGCCACAAAUAAGUAAAAAAAAUAUCCCACAAAAAAGCUCCACGAAACAAACCUUAGAUAGGGCGCUACUAAAGAAUGACAUUUAGUAGCGCUUGUACUCACCACUAAAACUACUAUAGCUGCAGUGGCAACUCUAGUCGCUACAAUAGCUUGAUAAUCAGUAGCGGCCUUAUGGCUGCCACAUAUACUAAUUGCUACUGUGACAAGGUUUAGUCGCCACUAAAACCUGUUUUUCCCAACAAUAGCCAACAUCUAAUACAUUUUCAUCAAUUGCUAUUAAAAUUAAAAUCAACCAAAAUUAUUCACUAACCAAUAAUCAAGUCAAAUAUUAUAAAUGCUUUCAUUAUCACAAAGUGAGUUAGAUAUAUACUACACAAAACUUCAUUGCUCAUUGUCAUUGUAUGCAUAUACAUACAAAAAAAAGGAAAAAUAAAUUUAAUUGUCUUCAAACUCUUCCUUGGUCAACGUCAUUUGUGGUUGUUUAAGAACCUUGUUCCUGUUAUUAAGAAAAAGAUAACAUAUGACCAUUUUGACAAUCUCAUAAUUUAUAUAAUGCUAACAUUAAAAGGGGUGACCAAGAUAAAAUUGUAGUAAGAUUAAGCUAUUUAUAUCAGCUGAUUGGGAAAAAACCAUCGAUUUUAGAAGGACUAUAUACAAAAAUCUACCAAUAUCAAAUACAUUAACCACUACAAGUAGAUCAAGAGGCACCAGAAAUGUACACUAACUUUAAGGGCAACUCCAGAAGUGCUCACCGGAGGAGCUAACGUAAUACAAGCUGAUUAAAAAAAGAUAUAACUUUGUUCACCUAUUCAAAAAUGCCUGUAGGAAACUCCCAAGUGCCAGUGCAUUUUUCAAUUUUUUCUUUAACUACCGAUACCUGCCAAGAGGAGUAACUUGAUUCCUCUUAGAAAUGUUAUGGCAAACUAGUCUUACCUAUCAUAUUAAUUACUCCUAACUUAAGUGGAACACUAAUUAAACUUUAUAGACCUGUCCAUUGUUGUCCAGAAUGAGAGCAACAAUACCAACAUAAUGAGAAGCAUUAGCAGGUUGUGUGUGAGGAGUAUCUAGAAUUCAGUAGACUAGCAUCAAGUGUGUUGCUACAGCAUAAUAAUACCAAAAUCCUUCCUCUAAUAACCACCAUCUAGAUUUGCGGCCCAUAGCCUAAAAAAUAGUAUGUCUAGAACAUCUGUAUACAACUAGAACCAGAAGCAUUCUUCAAGCCAAAAUUACAAUAUUGUAAUGAUACAGUUAACUAAAACAAUUGACUUUCAUCAACUCCCAAGGAAGAGUUUCCAGUAAAAGUUAAUAAGCAUUUAACUGUCAAAAAGAAAAACUUAGAUAGUGAGUAUAUUCCCAAAACAAAGAAGGUGAAGCAGAGACAAAAUACCAAAUAUUUGUAUUAUAAGGCAAAACAUUCACCUUAAGUAAAGCCAUCAAUUUGCCACAAUAAAAAUCUAGUUAGAGAGAUGAAAUUACAAUUACAUAUUUAUGGACUAAAUCAUAUUAUUAGUAGUAACCCCGAACCAUAAAAAAACAGGCCAAGGAAAAGGCUACUCUACUCAUCCUCCAGCCAACUCCAAAAGCAAAAACUAGCACAAUGAAAUUUUCAUUCUUUCAAACACCAACUCAAUGCAUAUAAAUGCUGCACCAAGACAAACCAAUAGAAGGAAACAAAAGUCUGCUUUAUUUGAAUACACUUCAUUUUGGCCCUUCAAGAUCAAACUAUUAUGUACCUCUCUUUUAUGUUUUGUUUUUUAUUGAGGUUCGUUAUGAUGUCCUUUUCUUCGUCAGUAACUUCUUAACAACAAACCAUCUAGAAGGAAGAAACUGGAGUCUGUUUCACUUAGAUACCAAGAUUUAAAAUUGAAUCGAUCUUCUAAAUACCACUACUCAAGAAAAAGAAAACCUUCCACUAGCAUAUUUUGGUUCUGAAAAAACACAUGCCAAAGAUAUAAAGGUGAUCUGCAAAAUACUAAUUGUAAAGACAUUAAACAAAAGUAUUCAAAAUUAAAUUUAUCUCUAAACUGUCUUCAAGGUCAAGCAUUGACAGAUGAUUUGGUCAAUGGACCUUAGGCAGCAAAAUACAUUUGAUCUACUUGUACUUCUAGAUUCUAAUUUCAAGUAGACAUUAUUCAUUAUCACAAAUGGCACCAGUAAAUAUAUUCUCAGAGCUGGAAGUAUGGAAGCAAAAGAAAAUGCAGCGGCAACCAUCUUUAGUUUGUAACUUGAAAAUGGGAUAAUAAUAAUAAUAAUAAUAGGUGCAUCAGGGGACAACCGCCUCAUGGAUCAACUAUUUCUUUUUACUGUAUAGAGUACAAGCAUACAUGAUAAUGAUCAGCAAAAGUGAACAUAUGGAUGGUCCGUUUAUAUGUCAAAUGGAAUUCAAGCGCAUGAAAUUAAUGUUCAAACUAGAACCUGCCAAACUAACAUGAUGUUGUGUACAAUUAGCUAUCUCUGAAGGUGUCCUAGUUCACAUUGUCCAAAUUCAGCAAGAAAACGAGCCAAAGAUGCCCAGCAAGCUCCAGCUUUCCUUUUUAUUAGUAAAAACAACCUUGUCACAGACAAGGAAAUAGCAAAACCCAUGAUAGAUAUUAGAUAUAAUUCCAAGAAACAAACAAUUAUACAUCAAAUAAAUUUUACCAAAAUGAGGGUGAUUUAACUUUAAAUGAUUAUGGACACUAAGAGAAAGUCUUCUAUAAUUUAAUUCAGAGAAUAUAUAGAAAAUCACAGAAACAUAAAUACACAUGUGCGCUUACCAUUAAUUGAAUCUAUUCUCUAGAUCUCUGAACCAAACCAGCCGAGCAGCCUUUUGAUUCCGCCAUGCUCGCUUAAUGAGCUCCGCAUCAGUCGCCGAAACCUAAUAUUCCCAAUAAUCAUCCCCCGAAUCCAUUUGCUCAUAAUCUAACGAUUGUAGGCCUUAAGGCAGAGAGCAGAAAAUCUAUGUGCGUUUCUUACAAUUCUCUUCACAUUGAGUUGAUUCACUAGGGUCGGGUAGAUUUAGGUUAGAUUAGAGCAAAUAAUAUGGAGGAGAAAGAUAAGAGAGAGAAAAAGAGACGCUUGAAGGGAGAAGGGAAAUCGCCCAUGGAACUUAACAGAGAAGCGAUGUGUGGAGGAAUUUUGGGGAGAGAUAUAGGGUUUGCUUGGGAAAGGCCGAAUGGAAUUUUGGGGGAAAUAAGAUUUGGGAACUAAACCUAUAAACUUUAAUGUACAUUUACAUAUCAAAACAAAAUAAUCAGAGGCGACCUAAAAUUGCCACAAGAAGGUCUACUUUAAGUAUCGACCUAAUCGCCUCAAUUGAUCUGUUGUGGCGACUAUUUAUCAGUUGCCACCAAAUACAUGUUUGUAUUAGAAUCUGGUACGCAAUAGCGGCGCCUUUGCUUGAGCCGCCACUAAAAUGUUAUUUUUUGUAGCGAAUCCUGAAACUAUCUUUUUUUGUGGCAACAUUGUCGGGUCGCACUAAAACCCCUACUUUUGUAGCAACUAGUUGUGUCG